UCGACUAGAUUCUGCACAGUGAACAGUUAAAGAGAAGUAAACCAAGCAAACUGAAAGAUAAUAGGACACAAUAAUUUUUAUACCGGUGAGGUACUUACAUCUAGUUUCCCUUGGGUCACAAGGGACUUCUUAGAUCUUUGAUAAUAGGUUACAAUGAUGAUGGUUUUGGUUCGCUCACCAUCAACAACAUUCAGUGAUAAUGCCUUUUGUAAUGUUGACACAACUUUCUUUUUGUGUUCUAUCUCUUCCUAUCUUUUAUGACACUUGUAGACUCAAGAAUACAAUGUUUGUACUAAGAACUAGAAAGGUUUAGAAUCAGUUUAUGUAGUUGCGCAUCCAAUCCUUGAGUAUGCCACUCUUCUUAUAGACCAGAUUUUAGAGCUGUUGUUGAUUUGUUUUUGAUAUUUGAUUCAUGACUCAUGCCUUUAAUUCCUUCAAGAAGGAUGGGCUGGAUUUAAUAAUCUAGUGUUCCAAGCCGAGAUCUAGAGAGUGCUUCCAUGCUCCAUGCUUUGUCGAAGAAAGGAGUAGAUGGGCUGGAUUAGUUUAUCCAGGGAGUGCUUUCCAUGCUCCAUGCUUUAUUGGGUAGAGGAACAAUACUUCAAGUUGUCUCCCAUUAUAUUAUGUUUCCCUUCCACUUUGAAUCUUCCUUCAUACAUGAUCUGCUAUUUGUAUUUGCAGGUGAGUUAUAUAUAAGGCAAUGGUUCAAAAUACAUAGCCAUUGAGCAGAUCUUCAUUCCUUUUUGGCAAUGCUUGCUUCACCUGAAUCUGCAUACACUAAUAUAACAUUAGUCAAGACUUCUUUAUGGAUAUUUGAUCAUUAUUAAAAUUCUACACUUAACCGUCAUUAGUUUAUCAUUCAUCAGAUGAAGUCAUAAAUUCCUAAUAUAUAGAGGAAAGAAAAUCCCUUGCAAAGGGAGCACUGUUGCAGGCUAAAAACCUUGACUUAAACUGGUGUUUCCGUUGAUGUUUUGAUGUAGAAACUAUAAGCUGAGCACACAAAUGAUAGAAAGGCAUGUAGGAGAGAUAUCUGGUUUGAGUUUGAGAUAAAUGAGGCAACUGCAGUAACUAGUAGCUGAGAUAAGAAUUUAGUUUGAGAAUGUUCAAAUGAAUAACUAGCUAGCUAGUUUCUUGCCACCUAUAACCAAGAUCCUGGAGCAUCUGUUAAGAAGUCAAAGGAGAAAAGCUCCUGGCCUCUGAUACUUUUGCAGCUGUGGCUACUCGUUGCUGCAUUGCUUGACAAUCGAUAAUUGGCUUACUUUUCUAAGAUGCUUCUUACAUCAAGCAACCCAAUCAUUAAACAUAAUGACCAUAAAUAUCUAAAUAACUUGUCCCUAUACGGUUAUCUGUGGGCACUACAAAUGCUAGCUAAACUGAUUUUCUGGCUUUCUACGAUUCUUGUUUUACCACUACAAGUGAUCUUGUUUAGAACCCUUUAUUCUGAUGAGAUAUAAGAGAGCAUCAACUCACUUGUCAAACCAAGAUCUUGCUAAAAGUAGUGGAGAACCCCAGCUAAAACAGUUUUAAGCAUUAUUUUGGCUAUAAUGAACACAUCCAGAGAGGGACAGCGCAUCUGCAAUCAUUCUUCUUUCUCUUAUGGUCACUAUCAUCAAUAUUGUUAUUAAAGGAUGAGUUGUUUCCUUUUUGAAAUAACUCGCUUGUAUAGAUAAGAAAAAUAUAUCUUAAUUAAGCACUAUUAGGGAAAAAAGCACAAGCUAAAACUUACCUUCUGACAGCACAAUAGGAAUAUGCAAAAUUCAAAAGCAACGGCUAUUUUUAUCAUUACCAUUAUGAUGUAGAUUCUGGCAAGUAUUAUUGAGGAAUAUUGGCCCCCUUUAUAGAAUGGUCACGCAUAUAGAAUAAAGGAUGAAACUUUGUCUGAGGUUCAUCUUGUCUGGUUAAAAAUGGUGAUUAGGAUUCCUCCUUAUCAAAUCCUAUGUCAACACUCGAGCUUCUGCGCUUAGGUGGAAUCAGCUACAGUUUCCAUGUCAGCAUUCACGGUCCCAAUAACUGGUCAAGCGACUUCAACUCAUUGUCAAUCUCGGAUUACUCUUGAUUUGCUUCACUAUGAAAACCAUGUUAUGUGUUUGUAUGAGAGGCCUGGAUUUUUUUCUGUGACUCAUCAAUGACCAUAGAUUGUGUAAUAUUCACUCAUUUCUUGCCACUUAUAACUGUGCGGAGAGUUUGUCAAUUCUUGGAUCUUUGCUUGAAAACUCUUACCAAUGCAUAAUAAACUAUCCCUUUAGUAAGGGAGUUCAGAUAUUAGCAUUCUCCUUUUAUGGCUUUUGAACCAAGGAAAAGUUAUAGUAUAACCUUACAAUCCUUUUCCUUUUAUGAAAAGAGAGAGAUCACUAAACUGAUUAUUGUCAAAGAUGGUUAACCUUAUAACUUAUCAUAAAAACAAUUACAGGGCUUCAAAGUCAUAAAGUUCAAAUCUUGUGCCAUGCAUCACAUUCAGAAUCUUCAGAGAAUUGAUGAAAAACAAAGGUAAACGUCGUGUGAUUGUAUACCUUAAUACAUUGUCUCAGGUACCAGUCAAGAAAGAGGUAUUUCUCUUAAAAUUGAUAUAUUAAAUACUGUCAGGAAUAACGCAACUCUCAUGUUUUGUUCCGAAUUAAUGUAUCACCUGUCUGUACCGAUAAAAGCUGUUAACAUUCUUAGCAAUCUAUUUGGUGAAACUAAGGACUGGUCUGAUAAUAUCUAGAGUGCUCUGAUUUCUAACACAUGCAUGACUAAACAGGAGAUGAAAAGAAGUCCACUUUUGAAUUAUUAAGAAGAAUAUUACACAAUAAGAAUAAUAGGACUUGAAUUUGCAUUAUGAGGGAAUUGAUUCCUUGGUGGUAAACUUUGUCACAGUUUUUGCCCCUUUAGAACCUGAACCAUUUUCCACCUGAACGACGUUAGCCUUCGUGUCAGGCAGUUGCUUGCAUUGGCAAUGUGGAUUACACACACUAAUCUAAUGUGUAAGCGUGAGAAUCCAAAUCAUCUCAAGGGUCCAUCUAUCUUAGCAAGAUCACGCGGUAAAAUAACCCCACCUUUCACAUAACAUCUUCCCCUCAUAACACCUACUAGAAAUGGAUACAGAACAAAGAAUAAUAUUUUGAGGAGCUCCUUUUUAGUAGAAUAAUGGACAGUCGAACAGGUAAGGAGGGGCAUUAUUGGACUUCUGCAAGAAAAUAUGCUUCACAUGCAUGAAUAUGACAGUCGACAACUUUAGAGAGCCAUACCUCUACAGUCAAUAAGGAAGGAAAGUAGUUGGUUUAUCCAACUCUUUUUUGGAAAAUUUGCGCUAUCUUGUGGAAUCUCAUUUAAGGAAACUGUUUGAAGUCACAAAACAGAUCAAAAAGUAAACUUUGGGCCCCAAACAAUGAGGUCUUCCAACUAUAUAUACCUCCCCAAACCAUUCAUCAAAAUUACCACUUACAGCAAACCAUUUCUUGAGCUUCAAGUUUACGUCUAGUUGAGAAGUUCAAGUCUUCAAAUUAUCAAGGUGAGGCAUCGAUGAUUUAGUUUCCUUUUGUGGUUCAUUUCAUUAUUCUUCCAGCUUCUACACAAAAAAGGAAGAAAAAUACAAUAACUUUAGUCUUGAGUCCAAGUUUUUCAAACAAACUAGGCCCUUAAAUACAAGAUUAAUGUGCUGCGAAAUUUUUUCCUAGAAUGAAAUAACUGUUCAUGUGUAAGCAAUGCAGUUCUAGCAUAUAGAACUGAGACCUUGUUGACUAUAACCAUGUAUAGAAUGAGGCCUCAAAGAUGGAUAACCAAUAAGAUUUAAUGGCCUAUUUUACUUCCCAUAUGAAAAUUUGUUCUCAUCAUAUUUUCAAGUUCAAUUUCAGGUAGACAUAAAAUGAGCAGUGGAGAUUGGAUGUGUGCUGCAUGCCAACACAUAAAUUUCAAGAAACGGGAUGCAUGCCAACGAUGCAGCUGUCCUAAAUAUGCAACGCCGGCUGAUGUUGCCAUGUAUGGACUAAACAAAGCAGAAGUCUUAGCUGGAGACUGGUAUUGCAGUGCGAUGAACUGUGGUUCUCACAACUAUGCGAGUCGAACAAACUGCUAUAGAUGUGGUGCCUUAAGAAGUGAUUAUUACGCUGUUGGGGCAGGAGUGAUGGCAUCAGCAGGUUAUGGAUAUGAUGCAAGUGCUAUUCCUGGUUGGAAGAGUGGUGAUUGGAUUUGCAGCAGGUCAGUUCAUAUUUACACAUUUCAUUUCCCAUGCAGUUCACUUACUCUAUAACAAUAACUACGCCUCAAUCCCGAGCAAGAUAGGCUUAACUGUAUGAAUCCUAAAGGUUAAUGUCUCUCCUUUUAAUCUCAUCUCUGUCCAAUACUGCAACAACACCAUCACUACUGUCCAAUAUCGCUCUAGUUAAACUCAUCUCAAACCAACAAUAUACAAAAUAAAAUUAAAAAAUACUAGAAGUUUACUAUAUUUUCUACUGGCAUAUAAAUCUCUGAUAAGACUAGGACUCCUAGAAAACAUUGUAUUAUGAGGAAUCAUCACAAGAUUGACUAGUUUUACGCUAACUGUUAGCCUGCCGCAAUUCUCCUCCUUUUACUACUGAUAUGUGCAGGUGACAUACUAUAGUUGGGAUUUUAACUAACAUAACUUCCUUGAUCGACAGAAUUGGAUGUGGUAUGCACAACUAUGCAAGCAGAGAAGAAUGUUAUAAAUGCAAGACACCUAGGGAUUUUUGUGAGACAUCUUCCAUGCGAUUCUGAUACUUCCUAUCAAUAUUUUACUUUCCAACACCAUUGUUUAUUUACUAACAUCUGUUAAUUUCUCUGUUUUUUAGGAGGUGAUCUGAGAGAAAGUGGAUUAUAUUGAGGGAUGCGGCGACAUUAAGUUAUUACUGAAGAUUUACCAGAAAUCAUAACCUUCAAUGACCUUUCUUCUUUUCCUUUUAGUUUUUCUUUUCUUGUUUAGUAGUUUCCUUGUAGUUGCUCAAAGAAGGGUUUGUAAGUCUAACUGCAUUGUAACUUUACAAAGUGUUCAAUGAAUGAAAUCCCUUCAGAUUUCGCAUUCUUUCUGUCUUUCAAGUUUCAACAACUGCAUUUGUAGGGGUGGUCCAAUAAAAUAAUUUUAUGUAUCCAAUGGAAGGAAUUGCUAGCGUAGGCUCGGGCCUUAUAUGUGUAAGAAAAGAAUAAAAGAAAGUAUAUAUAUAAAGAACCAGACCUACUGACUCUAAAUCCUAAAUACAGUGCUGUGGACUGUGGCUAGUGGCUUAGGUGAGUCUUCCCAACUUACUUUAAACAACACUUGUCACACCUCCUUUUUCUCGAUAGGGAUAGGGGAUAGGGGAUAAGGGAGUUUUUUUCAAUUUAAGUGACAUUAUUCGAAUUGAGAUUAUUUUUAUUUUUUUCAAAGUCGUCACUUGGAAUAUUUAGGGUGUUCCAAGUCACCGGUUUAUUUUAAAUCCCAAAUCGAGAAAAUUUGACUCGGUUUAUGUUCCGCAAACACAGAAGACCAGGUAAGGAAUUUUGUUAAUCCGAGAAAAGGUGCCAGACACUCGCGAAUUUCAUGAUUUUAGCACGGUCGCUUUAAUCAUACCUGGUUUAAUUAGAUUGUUUUAUCACGUAUUUUAAAACCUAAGUGCAUUUUACCUUUUACCGCUUUUAAUUAUGGCGUUUAUGGAUUUAAUCUUUGAAACAGACUACAUGUGUGUAAGUCUGCUUCGUUUGGGGCACUAAAAUCAUGUCACGCGAACGUGUACACAAUUAAUUGUGCUUUAUUAAUUUAAGAUUGUUUGGUCGAAGUUGCGCGAACGCAUACCUCGAUUUAAUUUUGGAUAUCGGGAUCACGUCACGCGGACAUGUACGCAUUCACGAUAGUAGUUUAAAAUCCGUGCCUAAAGCAUUUCUACGAGUGUUUAAUUAAGUCAUUUUAUUUACUAAGAUUGUUUGACCAUGAUCACACGAACAUGUACCUUGGUUUGUUUUUGGCAUCACAACUAUGUCACGCGUGCGUGUACAUGAUUGUAAUAAUUAAGUUGAUUAUAAAUACCUUGAGUUAUGCUUAUGUCUCUAAACUAAAUAUUCUAUGUCAUAUGGCUAAGUGUAAAGGUUUAAUACUAGGUGAUAUGUUUGUUUGUAUUAGAUGGGGGCAGCCUAUGUAUUAUCUGUCAAACAGGCCCAGAUUUAAAGUUUGAGGCCCGAUGAGGAUUGAGUCCAAAUGAACUUUAGCCCAAGACAUAUAUUUUCGUUAUUGGGCUUAGCUAAUGGAUUCAGUUCAAAAGGAUUUGGGCUUGUUUGAGUCUAAUUGACUGCCCAAUGCAUAUUUUAAGGCAGCUAAAUGAAUUCAAUCCAAACGAUUUGGGCCUAGUGAUCAUGGAGUCCAAAUGACUCUGGCCCAAUACCAUGUUGUUAAGCAAUCAAUCAAUUAAACACAUUUAAUUCAGAAAGAUCUAGGGCUAAUGAUGAGUCCAAAUGACUGUGACUUAAUGUUCAAUUUUAUAGACAACUAAAUGAAAUUAACUAAAGGCAUUUGGGCUUGGUGAUAAUGAGCCCAUGUGACUUUGGCACAACUCAAUGUUAUUAAGCAUUCAGUCAAUUAAACACAUUUAAUUCAGAAAGAUCUGGGCCUGAUGAUGAGUCCAAAUGACUCUGGCCCAAUGUUCAUUUUUAUGGACAACUAAAUAAAAUUAACUAAAGAUAUUUGGGCCUGGUGAUAAUGAGUCCAUGUGACUCUGGCCCAGUGCAUAAUUGUGUGAAUGAGUUUGAAAUUAAAAUUUAUAACAACAAUUAUCAGAUUUUACUUAUAUUUUGUUUAUCUUUUAAAACAGAAAACUAAAAAGGGUCUGGGGACACGAACCAAAAUUAAAAUUGGAUAAUUUCCUAUUAAUUGCUUAAAUCUCCUAUUUCUUAUAUUAACUUAUGUUAAAGUGAUAAGUUUUAAAACUCAUUUGCAUUUGAAAAUCUUAAAGUGUAAAGGCCUUUAAUCAACUCAUUUUUAUUAGCCAAAGACCCAGAAUACAAUCUUAUGGACCCAAUUGAUUUGGGCCUGAAUUCGUACCUUGAUUACUGUUAGGUUGCUUGUAAAAUCCAGCUUUUUAUGAUUUUAAACUAAUAGCAUUGGAAUUAGUAUAUUUUAAUUGUUUAAUAACAUAGUAAAGCUACUAACUAACGCAUUGCAUGAGAGGAUAUAAUAUAAAACAAAAUUAAAUUAUUACAUCUCACUAACAUGGACAGUGAUAACAAAUCUGUCUACUACUAAUCUAACAAAUUUUCUAGAAAAAAGAAAGAUUUUCUCUUUUUAACUAUUCGAACGUACCAAUCUUAUGACUAUAUGAAGCUUUAAACAGAUUUUAUAAUUUUUUCAGAACCCUUUAAAAUGAAGCUAAUAUAACUUAAAUUGCCUAAAACAGUGUAAAUAAUUAACUCUACAUGCUUUCAUACACAACUCUCAACCAAACAACUUCAAACAAUAUGAUUCAUGCAGUGCUCAGAUGAAGUAGAAAUUCUUGAUAACCAGCAAAAAUAAAACUUUACAUUGUUAAAAGAAAAUACCUUGAUAGCAGCAAGCAAACUACAGAUAAGAAAAUAAGUAUCUGAAAGCUUGAAGUAAAACAGCAGCAAUAAAACCCAAUAGAAUAAGAAGACGACCAGAUUUUUAAAAAUAGGAAAGGAAUGUAUAUUUUUGAUUCUCAAAGAUCAAGGUUGAUUUUCAAAAGUUUUUCUUUUGAAAGAGAGCAAAAUCUUAAGGCAGUCUAUAUGUGUCCAUAAUGUGUCUUCAUAUCCUUUUCUAAUGAAGAAAGAGGAGUGUAUUAUAUAGAGUGAGAGAGUGAAAAGGGAUGAGAAUUAGGUACAAAAGAAUCUGCUAGAAUUCCUUAUAAAUUAGGAAAAUGACAUCUUUCUUAACAGAAAUGGACAGUUGUCCAAUUUUUAGUACCUUUCUUAUCUCAGAAAAGGGACAAGUGUCUAAUUUUUGGAUAUUUUUGAAUCUUAUCCCUAUUUUCCUACUCAACAUUGGGACAGUUGUCCCUAUUCUAGAAGUUUCUAAUAUUUUCUAAAUAAUUUUCAGAAUUAGGAUUCCAAAACUGACCCUUAAGGGUCUUGGAAUUACCUCAGAACCAGAUUGGUUCUGGGCCUGAGUCGGGUGACUCUCGGCCGAAGGACUUUAGGAUCUUAAGCUUUUACAAAGUUAUGGGCCUGUCUAAAUAGACAGGCCCAAUUUAUGAGCCAAAUAGAACAAGUCACUUCAGUGAGGCCCAGUUCUUAACCAAACCAAAUAACAGUAAAAAUAAAUAAAAAAGAACGAAAAUUAAUUUAAUAAAAAUAAAUANNNNNNNNNNNNNNNNNNNNNNNNNNNNNNNNNNNNNNNNNNNNNNNNNNNNNNNNNNNNNNNNNNNNNNNNNNNNNNNNNNNNNNNNNNNNNNNNNNNNNNNNGACUCCCAUCUGGGAUCUGAAAUCCUUGAUGGGAGAUCUUGGCAGGAGGAUUAUUAAACGGACUAGGUUGGAUUUAGGGUUUUGAAAAAUAAAUCUAGGGUUUUGGAGACCCUAGAUCUAAGAUCUAUGAUUAUUGGUGGGGUUUUGGGAGAUUUGGUUGGUAAGGUGAGGUUUAGGGAGGUGAGGAGAGUGUAUAGGGUAAGUUUGGGUGGCUUUGGAGGUCCACCGCCGCCGUAGGGUGAUUUCCGACGGCGGCGUGGGAGGAGCGUUUUGGGGAGGCUAGGGUUUGGUUAGAGAGAGGUGAGAGACGGAGUCGUCUCUAGGGUUAGAGAGAGAGAUGUGAGAGAGGGGGGAGACGAAAUGAGGGGGUAGGAGAGGGUUUGGACACUUAUAUAUUAAGUGACAGGCGAGUUCCGAGCCGUUGGAUCUUGUGAAGAUCAACGACCAGGAUCGCCUGGCAUUUAGACGACGUCGUUUGGAUUAGUAUAGGGCUGGGCAGAUUCUGGGUAUUGGGCUCGGGUAUUUUGGGCUAAGUUUUGGGGAUUGUGCUAGGUUUUACACUGGCCCAGUCCGAUUUUAGGCUAAUUAAACUCUAUUUUAUUUAAUUAACUUUUAAAAAUCUAUUUAAUUUAAACAAAUCCUAAAUUAAGUGCUAAAUUAUCUUAAUUUAUAAAAUUAAACCAACUAUCUAUUUGUAUUAUUUACAUAAUUAGUUAAUCUUCAAUUAUUAAACGAAAAAAUUACUAAUUUUAACACUAAAACUAAAAAUGUCAAAAAUAAAACAUUUUAUGUGAUUUUCUUCUAAUAAUAUGAUCAAAUUAUGUAAUUAAAUACUAAAUUUAAUUAAAACCUAAUAAUGCUAUAUGAUGAGGAUUUAAAUAUUUUUGUUGUUUUCUAUGAUUUCAAAAAUGCUAAAAAUAGAUGAGAAAUGCAACUAAAUGCAAAUAAUUUCUAAUAAUUAACAAAAAUCCUAACAAGAAAUCUAAAAAAAAUAAAUAUGAAUAAUUUAUUUAUUAAUUUUGUAGGAGUAUUUUGGUAGGGUAAAAAUUACAUGCUCACAGAUGUCCCUCUUUGCUCGGAAACACGAAGAGUUUUCGGGCAAAGACAAAGUGAGCAUUCAUGGACCAAUUUUACCCGUUUUGAUACUCCAUGGGAAACGUUUUGAAAAUGUUUGACCGAACCUUGCUUCAAAGAUUGCCUACAUAUCCUUGGCUAUAAAGGAAUCAGGUUAGUGUAGUUCUGAAGGUUUUGGUAGCUGGGACUACCGGAAAACUAUGAUUUCACUACUGUUGUUGCUGUUACUGUUGUUGAACUCCUUAUUACACCAAAGUAAAAAAUGAAGAAAGCUAACUAAGUCUAUCAACUACGAGUUACAAGAUUCCUAUCUGUAAAUUUUUUGAAGUUUUGACUUGAGUCUUGGCUGGCUCUUUAUGCAGACUCUAAUCUGAAUCUUUGGAAAGUCAUCAGGUUAUGCUAGCAUCAUCAACUAGGGAGUGGAGACCCUAUGUUGGAAAGUCAUCAGGUUAUGCUGGCAUCAACUAGGGAGUGGAGACCCUAUGUUGGAAAGUCAUCAGGUUAUGCCGGCAUCAACUAGGGAGUGGGACCCUAUGUUGGAAAGUCAUCAGGUUAUGCUAGCAUCAACUAGGGAGUGGAGACCCUAUGUUGGAAAGUCAUCAGGUUAUGCUGGCAUCAACUAUGGAGUGGGACCCUAUGUUGGAAAGUCAUCAGGUUAUGUUGGCAUCAACUAGGGAGUGGAGACCCUAUGUUGGAAAGUCAUCAGGUUAUGUUGGCAUCAACUAGGGAGUGGAGACCCUAUGUUGGAAAGUCAUCAGGUUAUGUUGGCAUCAACUACGGAGUGGAGACCCUAUGUUGGAAAGUCAUCAGGUUAUGCUUGCAUCAACUAGGGAGUGGAACCCUAUGUUGGAAAGUCAUCAGGUUAUGCUGGCAUCAACUGGGGAGUGAGACCCUAUGUUGGAAAGUCAUCAGGUUAUGCUGGCAUCAUCAACUAGGGAGUGGAGACCCUAUGUUGGAAAGUCAUCAGGUUAUGCUGGCAUCAACUAGGGAGUGGAAGCCUAUGUUGGAAAGUCAUCAGGUUAUGCUGGCAUCAACUGGGGAGUGAGACCCUAUGUUGGAAAGUCAUCAGGUUAUGCUGGCAUCAACUAGGGAGUGGAGACCCUAUGUUGGAAAGUCAUCAGGUUAUGCUGGUAUCAACUAGAGAGUGGGGACCCUAUGUUGGAAAAGACGCAGCUGGGGAUCAGAGACCGUAGCUUUGAAUUAUUUUCAACAUUAUUUCUUCUUUUCUUCUUUUAUUUUUCAGAGGAUGAGUGAAUGCGGGAAAGAACUUUGGGGAAGACUUCCCUUUUGAAGUUGUUGUUGCAAAGCUUGUUUCCAGCCCUUGCGCAGUUUUCCUUUUGGUUGCCCCUACUUUUUGCAAGGUUGCUUUCGGGUUUCACCUGUUUCCUGUUUUCUUCAACAAAGAACAAUUUGUCAGUUUGAAACGGUGGUUGGUUUUGUGGCCUUGAUUUUUGGUCACUCGAUCUUGGCCCGUCUUUUGGACGAAGAUUUUGAUUGCUUGCUGGCUCACUGGGGAUUGGUUUCAUUUCUAACCCUGGAGAUCUUGACUUUUCCAAAAUCUUACCAAGACGGUUAAUCACGUGGGACUUAACCUUCGUUAACUUUAUUUUUCCCUUGUGGCACUUUGACUUUAAUCCCUUUCCUUUUGGGAAUUCUUGAUUUCGAAGCAUCAGCUAUCAUGGCCGGUCGAGGUCGACUCGAUGUACCUGCCGAGGCUGGACGCUUUUUGCAUACUAGCUUGUAUCAAAUGAGAACCUUAUAGAUCGGUCUUUCCAUCCUUUUUUUGUCUCAAUUUAGAAUAGAAUUAGACCAAAAGGGAUUGAAAGAAAAUAAACAACGGAAUGGAUAAAUGAAUUUAGACAAGAGGUAUCCCUUUCGAGGAAAGGAAAGAAGGACUUAUCUGGAGUGUAUGCGGACUUCAAUGAAAAUGACAUGCCUCUUGGACUGGAUGCCCGAUCUGUGCGAACCGUCCAACUCUCAGAAAUCCACCAUAACUUAUACCUCAAGAUUGAGAAACCUUGCCCAGGACUAUGUCUAUGUCAGCGACCAAUUAUCCUUUUUUCGAUCAGUGGUGCCCUUUGCGGGUUUUCACCAGCUAACCUCUCUCAUUUCUCUUCUCACCAUCGCCUUGUAGUACUCUUUGUGAGUUUUCACUAACGAGGCUCUCUCAUUUUCAAUUUCUUUGCUUACCAUCGCCUCAUGGUGCCCGUAUGGGUUUUCACCGAUAAGACUCUCUCAUUUUAUUUCUCUCGUUUGGUUGUAUCAGAUCUGAGUAACUGUAUCCUCCAAUUUAGGACAUCUUUACCGAUUGAUCGGAAGGACUUGAAUAGGAUUUGGGAAGAAUUUGAAUUGAAUUACAACUUUGGAACCUUUCAGGCAAAAGCGUCGCCAAACCAUUAUAAAUUCUGCCCCAGUUUCAUCUUCGGGGAAAUUUGGAUUUUUAUUUUGGUGUGACUAAACCCCAGAGUAAGGCUGCCUACGUAUCCUUUCGGAAUCAAGUCGAAUGUAGUUCAAGGAAAUAUUUUGUUUUUGUUUCGUUUUUGUUUUGAUUGAUUGAUUUGAUUUUUUUUAUUUUUUACUUUUUUAAUAAUUGAACUUUCAGGUUCCAAGGAGGGUGAUCAAAGAAGAGUAACCGGCUCAAAGGGUUUACAAAAAAUUGAUAGUGUUUGGGUAGCGAGAAUGAAAGCCUUAGUCAUCCCAACUGGAGAGUGUUAAGACCUUGAAAGGGAUUAAACAUAAUACCUUUUGACCGCAUCCGCAUUGACAGCUGUUUUGGGGUCAUUUCCUUCAAUAUCUCCCAAGUACAAUGCACCUUUUGGCAGCAGUUUUCUUAUAAUGUAUGGACCUUUCCAAUUCGGAGCAAACUUGCCUUUUGCUUCUUCAUGAUGCGGGAGAAUACGUCUUAGAACGAGUUGCCCCACUAUGAAGUUUCUAGGCUGCACUUUCUUGUUGUAAGCACGAGCCAUUCUUUGUUGGUAUAACUGCCCGCGACAAACUGUGGCCACUCGCUUUUCGUCAAUCAUAGUUAAUUGUUCCAGCCGAAUCUUGACCCAUUCAUCAUCCUCGAUCUCAGCUUCAACAAUGAUUCGAAAAGAGGGAAUUUCAACUUCUACAGGUAUUACAGCUUCAGUGCCAUAGACCAAUAAGUAAGGCGUGGCCCCAACCGAUGUGCGCACGAUUGUGUGAUAUCCUAAUAAUGCGAAAGGAAGCUUCUCAUACCGUUGCCUAGAACUUUGGAUCAUUUUCCUGAGGAUCUUCUUGAUGUUUUUGUUUGCUGCUUCAACGACACCAUUGGCUUUAGGUCGGUAAGGGGUAGAAUUACGAUGCGUAAUUUUAAACUGUUCGCAUACCUCCCUCAUCAAAUGACUGUUCAGAUUUGCGGCGUUGUUAGUAAUGAUAGUUUUCGGAAUACCAAAGCGACAGAUAAUGUUGGAAUGUACGAAGUCCACCAUUACUUUCUUGGUGAUGGCUUUAAAAGUGACCGCUUUGACCCAUUUUGUGAAGUAAUCAAUGGCAAUCAAGAUGAAUCUGUGCCCAUUUAAGGCUUUCGGCUCGAUCGGCCUAAUGACAUCCAUACCCCAAGUAACAAACGGCCAAGGUGCUGACAUAGGAUGCAACUCUGAAGGAGGUGCAUGAAUCAGGUCACCGUGUAUCUGACACUGAUGGCACUUCUGGACAAAACUGAAGCAAUCCUUUUCCAUGGUCAUCCAGUAAUAACCUACCCGCAGGAUUUUUUUGCCAGGACAUAUCCAUUCAUGUGGGGCCCGCAUACUCCUGAAUACACUUUGUUCAUGAUCUUUUCUGCUUCUUUGGCAUCUACACACCUUAAAAGAUUCAGAUAUGGAGUUCUCUUAUACAACACUUCUCUACUUAAGAAGAAACUGCUGGCAAGCCUUCUAAUGGUUCUCUUUUGGUCUCUAUUGGCCUACUCAGGGUAUUCCUUUGUUUUCAAGAACCUUUUAAUAUCAUGAUACCAUGGUUGGACAUCUGAUUCUACUUCAACCGUGUUGCAAUAACCAUGUCUUUCUCGGAUUUGAAUCUCCAACGGGUCAAUAUGGACAUUGCCCGAAUAUGGCAGCAUUGCAGCUAAGGUAGCUAAUGCGUCCGCUAACUCAUUGUGAAAUUGAGGAAUAUACCUGAAUUCAAAGGAUUUGAACCAUUUGCUAAGAUCUUCCACAUGCUGUCUAUAUGGGAUAAGCUUGAUAUCUCGAGUUUCCCAUUUGCCUUGUGCUUGCCGAAUGAUCGAAUCAGAAUCUCACAUGAUUAAUAAUUCUUCUAUAUCCAUCUCAAUUGCCAUGUUCAUGCCCAUGAUACAAGUUUCGUAUUAAGCGGUGUUAUUCGUACAGAAGAACCGAAGCCAGGUUCUGGCCGGAUAGUGCUGACCAGUAGGCAAAAUCAAAAUUGCCCCAAUCCCGACACCUUUUGUAUUUACAGCUUCAUCAAAGAACAUUUUCCAAGCAUUUGUGUGCUCUAGAAUUAUUUCAACUGAGUUUACUUCCUCAUCCGGAAAGUAAGUGCUUAGGGGUUGGUAUUCAUCAUCAACCUGGUUCUCAGCUAAAUGAUCGGCUAAGGCUUGGGCUUUCAUGGCUGUGUGGGUGACAUAGACAAUGUCAAACUCAGUGAGCAGGAUCUGCCAUUUUGCCAACCUUCCCGUAGGCAUUGGUUUCUGGAAUAUGUACUUCAGGGGAUCCAUUCUGGUUAUGAGAUAUGUGGUAUAAGCCAACAAAUAAUGUCUAAGCUUUUGAGCGACCCAAGUUAAAGCACAACAAGUUCUUUCCAACAAAGUGUACUUGGCUUCAUAACCAGUAAAUUUCUUUCUCAAAUAGUAUAUGGCUUGAUCUUUCUUCCCGGUCGCAUCAUGUUGUCCGAGGACACAACCAAAAGAAUUCUCUAGAACAAUUUAAGUACAAGAUCAAAGGUCUUCCAGGCUCAGCGGAACCAACACCGGCGGAUUUGACAAAUAUUCUUUGAUUUUGUCAAAAGCUUCUUGACACUCAUCCGUCCUUUUAUUCGUUGCGUCUUUCUUUAGCAGCUUAAAUAUGGGCUCACACGUGGUAGUAAGCUGAGCGAUAAACCUACUGAUAUAAUUCAACCUUCCCAGCAAGUUCAUGAACUCUUUCUUGGUUUUCGGAGGUGGCAGAUCUCGGAUAUAUUUUAUCUUUGUUGGAUCCAACUCAAUACCCCUCCGACUGACUAUAAACCCCAAAAGCUUCCCAAAUGGAACUCCAAAUGCACAUUUUAUCCAGAUUCAAUUUCAAAUCAUACCUGCACAGGCACUCAAAGAACUUUCUCAAAUCCUUCACAUGGUCUCCCUGCAUUUUGGACUUAAUGAUCACGUCAUCCACAUACACCUCAAUUUCCCGGUGCAUCGGUUCAUGGAAAAUGGCAGUCAUAGCCCUCAUGUAAGUUAUCCCGGCAUUCUUCAGACUGAAUGGCAUGACCCUGUAAUAGUAAGUCCCCCAUGGUGUGGUGAAAGCUGUCUUUUAUGCAUCUUUUUCAUCCAUCAGGACUUGGUGAUACCCAGCAUAACAAUCCACAAAAGAUUGUAUCUCAUGUUUGGCACAAUUGUCGAUAAGAAUGUGGAUGUUUGGUAACGGGAAGUUGUCCUUGGGGCUUGCUUUGUUCAAAUCCCUGUAAUCAACACAUACUCGGAUCUUCCCGUCCUUCUUUGGUACUGGGACUAUAUUGGCCAACCAUGUGGUGUAUCAGACUACUCGGAUCAUUAAUCUUAUCGCAACUUCUUCUUUAAUCUUAUCGCUGAUAACUAUUUUGAACUUUAUUUACUUUUAUUGGAUAGGUGGACAACCGGGAUAAGUUGGCAACUUGUGUACCACUAGAUCGACACUUAGCCUUGGCAUAUCGUCACAAGACCAUGCAAACACGUCUUUAAAUUCAAACAAAAGUUGGAUCAAUGCAUCUCUAAUUUUUUCCUCGGAUUGAAUACUUAUCAUGGUCUCCUUGACCUCUUCUGAACUGCCCAAAUUAACUGGCUUGGUUUUAUUUAGGUUUGGCUUAGGCGUAUUCUCAAAUUGUUCCAAUUCUCGAUUUAUUUUGCUAAAAGCCUCAUCUUCAUCAUAUUUUGGUUCUUGAUUCAUUAUUUCACAGUUAGACAGUGUUUUUGGAUCUGGGCAUGAAGUCUGCAACCAUGUCAUGUUAUUUAAGUCCGCAUUAUUAGAACUAAAAAGAGAAAGAAAAGAAAAAUAGCAAAAUUAGAAAGAAUAACAGGGAAAGAUUCACAGACGAUGAAAUAUUGAUUUCAUUUCAUUGAAUUUGAAGAUAGGAUGGUUUACAUCGGAAUUUAAAAAGACAACAAAACUAAAAGCAUUCGAGUUACACCCUGAAAUAACUCGGAAUGUAGAAAAGAUGGCAAGACUAAACUACCGGGAUUCCCACCUGACUGGGAAUGGAGUAGCCUACCAGUUUUGCAAUUUAGCAUUGGUCCACAGGUAUUGCACACAGCAGUGCUCGAGCCUUCGCCCGGUUGGACCAAGUGGACUUCGUAGAUAAUUUUCCUCAUUGCUUCACAUCCUCAACUUCAUCGGCCGUGAAGGCCUCUUCUUCUUCUUCUAUAUAUCUUGGCUUAACAAAUGAUUUGGCGAGGUGCGGGAUUAGCUGAGGCAAAACCCACCCAUCUUUCUUACAUUUAUCGGCCCAUUUUUCAUCGGCAUCGGUGGCUUGGAAACCUAUGCCAAAGAAUUUCUUAUUGGCAGCCAAGGUGACGGGUUCUGUGAUGCCCUGUAAGGAUACCCCGAGCCCUUUUCCAGGCUUGUACCCAUGUUUGAUCAUUUUGCUAGCGACCAUGAUUGAUGCGCUUGAUAACAAGGUUGAGGACAUGGGGUUCCUUCCUCGCACUGGUCGGCGAGCACAAUUUCAAAGGCUUGGUAGACGAUGUGUUCGCUUCCCUCUCUUGCCUCGAGGUAUGUGACUGAGGAUCCCUGUAGAUUGACUGUUCAUCUUCUCUAUGGACCACUAUUUCUUGGUUCUCAUGUUCGAACUUGACCAUUUGAUGGAGAGUAGAGAGCAAGACUUCUGCUGCAUGGAUCUAUGGUCUUCCUAACAGAAAGUUAUAGGAAGUGUCCAUGUCCAGAACUUGGAAUGUUACUUCAAAAUCUACGGGCCAAUGGUUAGGAUUAAGUCAAUCUCCCUUAUCGUGUCCCUCUUGACACCAUCGAAAGCACGCACGCAAACAUUGUUUGGUUUGAUCUUUUCAGUCCCAAUUUUCAUCCUCUGCAAUGUUGAUAGAGGGCAAAUAUCGACUUUGGACCCGCCGUCCAAUAUGAUCCUUUUCACAUAAUAUCCCUCACACUUGAAAGUCAAGUGAAGGGCAUUGUUGUGGGCGGCUCCUUCAGGAGGCAAGUCUUUUCGGCUAAAGGAGAUUCGGUUGACCUCAAAAAAUCGCUCUGCCAUUCAUUCUAACUGUUCAACUGUGGUCUCAAUUGGAACAUACACCUCAUUUAGCGUCUUUAGAAGCACCUUUUGGUGUUCGUUUGAGCUCAUCAGUAGAGACAAGAGUGAAACCUGGGAGGGGGCUUUUCUCAGUUCAUCAAUUACAGCAUACUCCGAGGCUUUCAUCUUCCGUAAGAAUUACUCCGCUUCUUCAGAAAUUACAGGCUUUUUGAGGGGGAAAUGCUUCUGCUUGGUUUUGUUCAAUUCUUCUGGGUUAUGAUACUUCCCAGAUUAGUUUGUUUCAUUAACUUCCCCUUUAAAUUCCUUCCCUUUAUAUGUGACAAUUAUCUUAUUGUAGUUCCAAGGGACGACAAUGGUGUCUUUUAUGGGAUUUUGUGGCAUGCGGCUAAUGGUUAAAGGCUCAUCCAGCCUAGGUGGAAUGACUGGCCUCCGUGCCACGUAAGUCCCUUUUGGUACAUACAUUUUUGGUAGAUUUGGUAUGGUUUUCCUCUGCUUUAAUCUCUUGGGAGGGCUUAAAAUGAGUUGUCCCUUUCUGGGGGCUCUUGGGACGUAGAGAAUGGCCUUUGGCAGGUGUUGCCCCUGUCUUUGCUUCCCCGUCCUUUUCUUUAUUUUGGGGAGUGGAAUUCAUCUUUUUCUCAUCCCUGACCUGUUUUGCCACUGCUUUAGUUUUCUUCUCUGAAUCAGCAAUGGCAAUAAUCGCUUUUAAUGCGGGGUCGAAUUCUUUGUCUUCACAGAUCAUCCCGAUGACCGGCCUGUUGUUGUGGGCCGGUAACGGGUUGUUAGUUACAUUAGGGACUUCCUCGUCCCUUAACACUACCCGCUUUUGUUCUAUCAGAUUCUCGACUGCUCUCUUAAGGGUCCAACAAUCUUCAGUGUCAUGCCCUUCCGUCCCUGAGUGGUAAGCGCACCUGGUACUUCGCCUGUAGGAUGGAGAUUCCGGGUUCUGUCUGUUCAGAGGUACAGGCUGUAACAUGCCUAUUUGGUCUAAUUUUGGGAAGAGGCUGGAGUAAGAUUCACCGAUGGGGGUGAAGUCAGUUUUCCUGGGUGGUUCACGGGGAAGGGUGUUAUAUUGGUAAUUAUUCUGUGGUGGACGGGGAUUAUACGGAGCUUGGUGAGGAGGGUUGUUUCUUGGAGGUAGAGCUCUGUUUUGGUUGUAAUGCUGUUAUGGCCUGGUGUAUGGUUGGGCAUUCAUUACUGCAUAAGGAUGAGGGGCCAUAACAUAGGCUGCAUCCUGGUGGGGGUAAUAAUGUUGCGGGACCCUGGAAGACGGACCGGAAUAAUCCCGGGGUCGCCGAGAAUUUCUUAAGCUUGAAGCCAUCAUAGCUCCCUCUUCUUUUUUCUUUCGGUUGGUCAAACCUCCCGAGCCGCUCUGAAUGGCUUGGGAAGUGGCUCUUAAAGCUGAUUGACUUAAGAUGCGGCCUGUUUUUAGGCCAUUUUCUACCAUUUCUCUAAUUUUAAUGGCCUCCGCGAACGGUUUGACCAUGGCAGAUAUCAUGUUUUGGAAAUAAUCGGCAUCUUAGGCCUUUAAGAAGACACUGACCAUCUCGGUCUCAUCCAUCGGGGGUUUUACCCUGGCCGCUUGUUCACUCCAUUUGAUAGCGUAUUCUCGGAAGCUUUCCAAAGCUUUCUUUUUGAGGUUGGAUAAAAAAUUUCUGUCUGGAGCUAUGUCCACAUUGUAUUGGAAUUGCCUUAUGAAAUCCCGAUCUAGGUCAUCCCAUAUAUGCCAACAGGAGAUGUUUUGGUCCAUAUACCACUCAGAAGCAAUUCAGGUGAGGCUUUCUCCGAAAUAGGCCAUUAAUAGCUCCUCUUUUCCACUGGCACCCCUCAGUUGGUUACAAUAUCGCUUUAAAUGAGCAGUCGGGUCUCCAUGCCCGUCAUAUCUUUUGAACUUUGGUGUUUUGAAGCCGAUGGGUAAAUGCACGUGAGGAAACAUGCACAGAUCCGCAUAUGAAAUGCUCUUCUGGCCACACAGGCCCUGCAUGUUCUUGAGGCUUUGUUCGAUGCUUUUCAUUUUUCGUGCUAUCUCUUCUUGUUCAGGAUUCCUCACGACUUUCUCAUGUUCUACGGGAGACACAAAUUGUGGGUGCUGAGGAUAGGAAUUUGGGGUAACCCGAGUGGUGUCCAAUUGGAAUUGGGGAGCUUGGAAAGUAAAAGUUGAUGGUUCAAAGGUUUGUCAAGGCAGUGUUGGUUGUGCCAUGCUAGAGGCUGGUGGUGCUGUGAACACUAUAGAUGAUAUUGCUGAAGAUGGUGCCUGGGGGCGAACCUCAGAAGGCAUACCAGCGAAGUUGGUUGACAUGGUGGGGUACCCAAACGGGAUGAAUGGGUUGGUCACUGGGAUAGGGACAUUGGUGGUUCCUCCCGUCCUGGGGAGCAAUUCACGAAAUCUAGGGAUAGUACUGGGUGGUUCCCUGCCGUUGGACCAUGCGUCCCAUAUUUCUAGCAUACGACAUCGUAGCCUUAUAUUUUCUUCAGCAGCUGCUGACUCUGACUGCAGGAUAACCGAUACCGGGAUAUCCUCGGGCUCAAUGAUGGGUAGAUGACUUUCUGAGGUCAUGGCCAUACUUCCUUUAGAUCUCAUAAAAUAAGGGUGUGAAGCCAUAUUACCACCACAAAACCAACCACCUAAAAAUAGAACCUGUUCUUUUAGAGCACACACAACAAACCGGUUAGUUUGAGACAUUUAACACAUAGGGAAUUGCAUAUUGGGGGAUGCAAUGCACCUAAACAGUUAAACAUUUUCCUAAAUAUUUUGCAACGGCUGUGUGUUUCAUCCCGGCUUUAUUGUCUCUCUUUUUUUUUCUUAAUUACUUUAUUUAGGGUUAUGAACAAAUCCUACAUGUAUUGCCUACGUAUCAUGACGCCGCAUGAAUCAGAUCAUUAAGUAGUUCAGGGGAUAGGUAUGAAGUAACAAAGCACAUUGUUUUUUUCAUUUCAUUAACAAAGAUAUCUCUUUUAUUUGGUUUUUCAUUACAGGGAAUUAGAGAACUAAUGACUAUAAAGAAAAACAAUACAGACUCAAAAUAAAUGACAAACCAAUUUUGAACAAAACUCUAGAAAGCAGUAAAGUACAGACUCGAAAAUUGGAAAGUCAAAAGUACAUGAGAGCCUCUACUGGUCUUCUUGGAGCCUGUGGGGCAUUAGCUGGUCUUUGCGCGGGCCUUCACGCAAUAUCUUCUUGAAGAUGGUCUAAGUUAUCCAUUGCCUGGUAGACGAAGGUCAUCAUAGAAGCGAAAAACAUGGACCUAGUCAUGUCUUCACACUCAUGACAUUUUAUCACGACAUAAUCAGCUAUCUCCUUAAUCCUGGUUCUGAUAACUCCUUUCUCUUGAAGUAGACGCCCAAUUUGCUACGCCCGAGCCUCCAACACUUGUGCGUUGGUAUUGUUUUGGUCCUGUAGUUGUUGCACGCUUUCUUCUAUUUGGCAAAUUAGUGCGUAGCAGUGCUCCUUUUUGUCUUAAAAUCUUUGGUUUGCUGGACCAUUUCAUUCCCAAGGGAAAAAAACUUUUCCUUUAGAAUUGUUAUUUCUUUGCCAUAUUUUUGUCUCAAAUGGUGGGCCUGUUCUUCUGCUCCUUUGGCCAACUUUGUUUGAGCAUUUAGCAAAUCUUUUUCGGCCUUUAUCAAGUCAGCUGCAUAGUUGUGUACCUUCAUUCUUAAGUUAUUGAUGAUUUUUUCAUCUCUCUCGCUCCUUACAGGAGUUUCGAUGGCUAUCCUCAUGUCCCGGAGUUGGGCUCGGAGCGCCUCGUUCUCUCGGCUCAAUUUUCUCUUUUUACCUUCGGUUACCUGUGCCUGUAAGUCAUUGUCGAAUGCGAGGUUCCUCAACUUUUCCUCUAAGGCAUGGAUGGUGGCUUUAUAUUUCUUUUCCUUUUCUCCCCAGGCCAAACGUUCUCGGACUUUGUCAUCAAAAGCUUGAACAUGAGGCCUCUUGGCGGGCCUUUCUGGCUCGGUCUCCGGUUCCUCAUCAAUGCAAUUCCUUUUUUCGAACCAUGCGGCAUAGCCCAGAUUUACUUCGCCUUUGGCAAGAUCAGGCACUUGGGUGUCCUCUUUUAAGUAUCGACACCCAUUCCAAAUUUGUUGAAUUAAAGCUUCGGGAAGUGGGGCUUCGGGAUGUAGCUCAAUAACUUGGACACUCAAGUCUUCAUCCUCAGGAACUACUUGAUACCUUCCCAAUUGUCUUAGAACCCUUUGCAGCGCAUAUGGUUGGACACUUCUCAAGCCCAUCAAUAGCAAAUAAUUUUUUGUGGCUAUCAUGUAUAUGACUUCCCUCACUGGGAGCCAUCCUAAAGUCCACUCAAUCUGAUUCACCUUUAAAGUUCUUAAGUGGGCGAUCCAAGCUUCAACCCCUUCUAGAGAGUUAUAAUCUUUUACCCUCUCCUCAUAACUCUUAAUGAAGUUGCUCUUGCUUGGGCCGUAACUUAUAAAUUUCGGAUAAUGGCGAAGAUAUUCAAUUAACCACAUUUGUAGAAGGAUAUUGCAACCUUCAAAGAAUGUCGCCCCAGCCUUACACCGGGUUAAUACCUGAUAGAUAUCCGACAAUAUAAGUGGAGCAAGUGUGUGAUCUUCUUUGGCAGUUAGGACUUGUGCAAUUCUAGCCAUACAGAUAUCUAUUGUUCCUUUUUCAUUUGGGAAGACCAUGAUGCCUAGGAGUGCCACUAUGAAAGCAAAGCGACGAUGAGUUUUCCAAGUAUUUUUACUUUGCUUGUUGUUCAACCCCUUUUCAUGCGUUUCAAACCCAUUUGGAUGUCCAUACCUGGAGUACAGGAAGUAGAAAGAGCAACAUCCAUCGUUUACAUUGUUCUUCUUUAUUUGUUUUUUGAUGUUCAAGAUAUCAAAGAACCGACGCAUAGAGGGAGGCCUUAGGAAUAUAAGUUGUUAUUUUCUUAAGUCCCGGCCGAAAUCAAUAUAUCCGGCUAUUUCCUCCAGAAUGGGAGUGAGCUCAAAGUCCGAGAAGUGAAAGACAUUGUGAACGGGAUCCCAGAAGGGCACUAAAGCCUUGAUUAGAUAAUUCUGGGGCUUGACUUUCAUAAUAUCCGUGAGAGCACCCAAAUGUUCUACUACCCAGUCUUGACCAUCUUUACCCAAGUCAUACCAUCACAUUUGAAGCUGCAGUGGAGCCUGCUCUAUAACAUUUAACGGCGGGUUCUGGAAAGUGUUUAUUUUGUACAUGUGAAUGGUUAGGGUUGAUUCUAGUUCAAAAGACAGACUAGCGGAUUCUUUUGCAAAAAUCAGUUCUCAAUUUUUCAAAGGGAAAUCACCUGAAGGUGGCUAUUUGUGCAGCAUUGGCCAAAAUGAUCAUCUUUGCAAUAAUGGCCCCUUCCUACUUUCAAAUAAAAUUUUGAGGCCGGGGUAAGGCACUUUAUGGGAAAAGUGAUGCCUUAUUGACAGACAUGUACGUUCUUGGCGAGAAUAGACCUUCGACAAUUUAAAGGUAUUCUAAGGCUAUUCCGGCAAAAAUGGCGCAGGACUUAGCCAAAGCUGGGUCGGUUUUAUUUUUUGACCAAUGGACAUACUUUAUUUAUUUGGUUAGAAAAUUGGGGUCGACACCGAUGAGGUUUGCCUACGUAUCUCACAUCCGGUGAGAAUCAGGCCCGCAUAGUUCGGUCAGUUUUGACAUCAUUGGAAAAGCAUGAUAUUGACUUACUUUGAAAUGCAUUUUCUUUUUCUCUCUCUUUUUCAAAAUAUUUUGGCAGAGUUUCGAGGCAUUUUCAAAUACCGGAAUUUUCAGAACUGGGUGAAUUUUCUAUCCUACCUCACUCUUGGUUUUUCUGUUGUUUUUAUUUUCUUAACCGGUCAACAAACAAACCGAAACAAAUAAAUGCGCACAUAGCACGUAAGAUGCAUCAGGAUGGUCUUUUAUUUCGGGUACACUUGUCCUAGACGGACCCAACCCCUGUGUUGAGUUCCCAAAAGUCAAAUGCACAUGAUGCAAACAAACGUUCCUACUAGGGAUCCAGCAUGAGGCUAUGUUAUUCUAGGUUUAAACCUGGGGUGUGUUCUAGACAUGGCUUACCCAAGCGGACAGCUUGAGCCAAGGUGGGAGCGACGUACCGAGAGCACGAAAGUCUAUCCGGCCUAGUGGCUGAUCCAUCCUCGUUCUAUUUGGUACGAUCUCUAACAUAAAAUUGGGCCACGCAUACGUAUGCACUAUAUUUUAGAAGACUCAAAAAGGAGGUGUAAGAAGACAGUAAUAAAGUUCAAAUAAUCUCAAAGCGGUAAAUGAGCGGCAAUUAGCACAUUAGGCCCACAAAUACAGUAUUAUCAAUAAUGAAUAAAGCCAAGUACAAAUUACAUUACAAGCUCGAAUUCUGGAACCCUGAACCAGAGAUUUUGGGUUCGAUCCCCAGCAGAGUCGCCAGAGCUGUCACACCUCCUUUUUCCCGAUAGGGAUAGGGGAUAAGGAAAUUUUUCUAAUUUAAGUGACAUUAUUCGAAUUGAGAUUAUUUUUAUUUUUUUCAGAGUCGCCACUUGGAAUAUUUAGGGUGUUCCAAGUCACCGAUUUAUUUUAAAUCUCAAAUUGAGAAAAUUUGACUCGGUUUAUGGUCCGCGAACAUAGAAGACCGAGUAAGGAAUUCUAUUAACUCGGGAGAAGGUGUCAGGCACUCCCGAAUUCCGUAGUUUUAGCACGGUCUCUUUAAUCAUAUAUGACUUAAUUAGAUUGUUUAAUCACAUAUUUUAAAACCUAAGUAUAUUUUACCUUUUACCACUUUUAAUUAUGACAUUUAUCGAUUUAAUCUUUGAAACAGACUACAUGUGUGUAAGUCUGCUUUGUUUGGGGCACUAAAAUCAUGUCACGUGAACGAGUACAUAAUUAAUUGUGCUUUAUUAAUUUAAGAUUGUUUGGCUGAAGUUGCGUGAAUGCAUACCUCGAUUAAUUUUGGAUAUCGGGAUCACGUCACGUGGCAUGUACGCAUUCACGAUAGUAGUUUAAAAUCCGCGCCUAAAGUAUUUUUACGAGUGUUUAAUUAAGGCAUUUUAUUUACUAAGAUUGUUUGACCAUGGUCACGCGAACAUGUACCUUAGUUUGUUUUUGGCAUCACAACUAUGUCACGCGUGCGUGUACAUAAUUAUAAUAAUUAAGUUGAUUAUAAAUACCUUAAGUUAUGCUUAUGUCUCUAAACUAAAUACUCUAUGUCAUAUGGCUAAGUGUAAAUGUUUAAUACUAGGUGAUAUGAUUGUUUGCAUUAGAUGGGGGCAGCCUAUGUAUUAUCUGUCAAGAGGUCCCCGAUUUAAAGUUUGAGGUCUGAUAAGGAUUGAGUCCAAAUGAACUCUAACCCAAGACAUAUAUUUUCGUUAAUGGGCCUAGCUAAUGGAUUCAGUUCAAAAGGAUUUGGGCCUGCUUGAGUCUAAUUGACUCUGGCCCAAUGCAUAUUUUAAGGCAGCUAAAUGAAUUCAGUCCAAACGAUUUGGGCCUAGUGAUCAUGGAGUCCAAAUAACUCUGGUCCAAUACCAUGUUGUUAAGCAAUCAAUCAAUUAAACAUAUUUAAUUCAGAAAGAUUUGGGCCUGAUGAUGAGUCCAAAUGACUCUGGCCUAAUGUUCAUUUUUAUGGACAACUAAAUAAAAUUAACUAAAGACAUUUGGGCCUGGUGAUAAUGAGUCCACGUGACUCUGGCCCAACUCAAUGUUAUUAACCAUUCAAUCAAUUAAACAUAUUUAAUUCAGAAAUAUCUGGGUCUUAUGAUGAGUCCAAAUGACUCUGGCCCAAUGUUAAUUUUUAUGGACAACUAAAUAAAAUUAACUAAAGACAUUUGGGCCUAGUGAUAAUGAGUUCAUGUGACUCUGGCCCAGUGUAUAUUUAUGUGAAUGAGUUUGAAAUUAAAAUUUGUAACAACAAUUAUCAGAUUUUACCUAUAUUUUGUUUAUCUUUUAAAACAGAAAACUAAAAAGGGUCUGGGGACACGAACCAAAAUUAAAAUUGGAUAAUUUUCUUUUGAUUGCUUAGAUCUCCUAUUUCUUAUAUUAACAUAGUGAUAAGUUUUAAAACUCAUUUGCAUUUGAAAAUCUUAAAGUGUAAAGGCCUUUAAUCAACUCAUUUUUAUUAGCCAAAGACCCAGAGUACAAUCUCAUGGACCCAAUUGAUUUGGGUCUGAAUUCGUGCCCUAAUUACUGUUAGGUUGCUUGUAAAAUCCAGCUUUUUAUGAUUUUUAACUAAUAGCAUUGGAAUUACUAUAUUUUAAUUAUUUAAUGACAUAGUAAAGCUACUAACUAACGCAUUGUAUGAGAGGAUAUAAUAUAAAACAGAACUAAAUUAUUACAUCUCACUAACAUGGAAAGUGAUAACAAAUCUGCCUACUACUAAUCUAACAAAUUUUCUAGGAAAAAGAAUGCUAUCUUGUUUUUACUAUUCGAACAUACCGAUCUUAUGACUACAUGAAGCUUUAAACAUAUUUUAUAAUUUUUCCAGAACCCUUUAACAUGAAGCUAACAUAACUUAAAUUGCCUAAAACAGUAUAAAUAAUUAACUCUACAUACUUUCAUACAUAACUCUCAACCAAACAACUUCAAACAACAUGAUUCAUGCAGUGCUCAGAUGAAGUAGAAAUUUUUGAUAACCAGCAAAAAUAAAACUUUACAUUGUUAAAAGAAAAUACCUUGAUAGCAGCAAGCAAACAACAUUUAAGAAAAUAAGUCUCUAAAAGCUUGAAGUAAAGCAGCAGCAAUGAAACCGAGUAGAAUAAGAAGACGACCAGAUUUUUAAAAAUAGGAAAGGAAUGUAUAUUUUUUAUUCUAAAAGAUCAAGGUUGAUUUUCAGAAGUUUUUCUUUUGAAAGAGAGCAAAAUCUUAAGGCAGUCUAUAUGUGUCCAUAAUGUGUCUUC
rnacentral:lncRNA from 1 species